GAAAUCCGGAUUAAUACCGCAUACGCCCUACGGGGGAAAGUUGGGGAUCUUCGGACCUGACGCUAUUAGAUGAGCCCGCGUUAGAUUAGCUUGUUGGUGGGGUAAUGGCCUACCAAGGCAACGAUCUAUAGCUGGUCUGAGAGGACGAUCAGCCACACUGGGACUGAGACACGGCCCAGACUCCUACGGGAGGCAGCAGUGGGGAAUAUUGCACAAUGGGCGCAAGCCUGAUGCAGCAAUACCGCGUGUGUGAAGAAGGCCUGAGGGUUGUAAAGCACUUUCAAUUGUGAGGAAAAGCUUUUGGUUAAUAGCCUUGAGUCUUGACGUUAGCAAUACAAGAAGCACCGGCUAACUCCGUGCCAGCAGCCGCGGUAAUACGGGAGGGUGCAAGCGUUAAUCGGAAUUACUGGGCGUAAAGCGUGCGUAGGCGGUUUACUAAGUCAGAUGUGAAAGCCCCGGGCUUAACCUGGGAACUGCAUUUGAUACUGGGUAGGCUAGAGUAUGGUAGAGGGGGGUAGAAUUCCUAGUGUAGCGGUGAAAUGCGUAGAU
rnacentral:rRNA from 1 species